GCUGGAAGCCCGAUGCAAAGUGAGGUGUGCCGAGCCUCCAGCGAGCUUAGUUUGCAUGUGCAUGGAGAGCAAACUACCCUUCUUGAAGGAACAUCGCAGAACAAAACAGAGGCCAUUAGAAAUGGAAAACCCCACAAAAUGCAUGCACUCCAAAAUAACCUGUAGUCUGCAAGGAGAACAUUUAUUUGGGAUGAGAGAGACCUCACGUGCAGCCUUUCUUU